rnacentral:rRNA from 1 species
AACGAACGCUGGCGGCAUGCCUAACACAUGCAAGUCGAACGAGAUCUUCGGGUCUAGUGGCGCACGGGUGCGUAACGCGUGGGAAUCUGCCCUUUGGUUCGGAAUAACAGUUGGAAACGACUGCUAAUACCGGAUGGUGACGAAAGUCCAAAGAUUUAUCGCCAGAGGAUGAGCCCGCGUAGGAUUAGCUAGUUGGUGUGGUAAAGGCGCACCAAGGCGACGAUCCUUAGCUGGUCUGAGAGGAUGAUCAGCCACACUGGGACUGAGACACGGCCCAGACUCCUACGGGAGGCAGCAGUGGGGAAUAUUGGACAAUGGGCGAAAGCCUGAUCCAGCAAUGCCGCGUGGGUGAUGAAGGCCUUAGGGUUGUAAAGCUCUUUUACCCGGGAUGAUAAUGACAGUACCGGGAGAAUAAGCUCCGGCUAACUCCGUGCCAGCCGCCGCGGUAAAAC